GCGAACGCUGGCGGCAGGCUUAACACAUGCAAGUCGAGCGGGCGUAGCAAUACGUCAGCGGCAGACGGGAGAGUAACACGUGGGAACGCGCCCUUCGGUUCGGAAUAACUCAGGGAAACUUGAGCUAAUACCGGAUACGCCCUAACGGGGAAAGAUUUAUCGCCAAGGGAUGAGCCCGCGUAGGAUUAGGUAGUUGGUGGGGUAAAGGCCUACCAAGCCGACGAUCCUUAGCUGGUCUGAGAGGAUGAUCAGCCACACUGGGACUGAGACACGGCCCAGACUCCUACGGGAGGCAGCAGUGGGGAAUAUUGGACAAUGGGCGAAAGCCUGAUCCAGCAAUGCCGCGUGAGUGAUGAAGGCCUUAGGGUCGUAAAGCUCUUUUACCAGGGAUGAUAAUGACAGUACCUGGAGAAUAAGCUCCGGCUAACUCCGU
rnacentral:rRNA from 1 species